rnacentral:lncRNA from 1 species
GCCGGUACCCGGCUGUAAGGCAAGCUGGGAUGCGCGGAGUAGCGGGUGGAAAGCUGGACUGGAGUUCUCACUCGGCCGCUGGGUGACUUCGGUGCACUAGGGAUAGUAACAGUACCACCUCGUAGGGUUGUAGAAAGACCAAGUGAGUUAAUAUUUGUAAAGUGUUUAGAACAGCGUCUACUGCAUGGAAAGUAGUAUUUAUUUGUUAGAGAGACUCCAGGAGGUCUUGCCCAGGGAUUGACUUCUCCCUUCCCUGUCUCCACCCCCCACAUUCCCGUUUGUGAGCCAAGCCUUGCUUUUGCACCGGCCGGGCUCUCUUGCCUGGAAAUGCAUACCCAUCUCAAACCUGGGCUUUAAAAUCACCUCCUCUGGGACGCCUUCCUCUACUUCUCACAGUUCAGGCCUGUUCUGCCCCACACAGCAGAAAAUGCCCACGAUGCAAUACCAGAGUCUGCAUGGGACCAUUUCAACAACCCUUAGAAGCUGACUCAGCUGUCUCCUGGCCCUGACUUUUCUAAGAUGAGAGGAGCUGGUAGGAACAAUUUGGCCCCCAGAUGACUGCAGCGCUGGUCAACACCUGGAUUCCAACCUCAUGAGAAACCCAGAACCAGAACCACCCAGCUGAGCUGCUCCUGAAUUCCUGUGGAAACUGAGAUAGUCAAUGUUCAUUUUAAGCCACUAAGUUUAGGAUAAUUUGUUACUCAGCAAUAGAUAACUAACACAUACAUCUUGCACAUAUUUAAUUAAGUGUAUCACUAAGUAUUUGAUGUGGCUUUUUUGUUUUGUUUUGUUUGAGACGGAUUUUCGCUCUUGUUGCCCAGGCUGGAGUGCAAUGGUGCGAUCUUGGCUCACCACCACCUCCGCCUCCCGGGCUCAAGUGAUUCUCCCGCAUCAGCCUCCUGAGUAGCUGGGAUUGCAGGAUGCGCCACCACACCUGGCUAAUUUUUGUGUUUUUAGUAGAGACAGGAUUUCUCCAUGUUGGUCAGGCUGGCCUCGAACUCCUGACAUCAGGUGAUCCGCCCGCCUCGGCCUCCCAAAGUGCUAGGAUUACAGGCGUGAGCCACUGCAUCCAGCCUAAGUAUUUGAUGUUUUUAUGUACUUUUAAGAAGUGUUUGUAAAAUUCCAGUUUCCAAUUGUUGGUUGCUUGUAUAUAGAAAUAUAAUUGAUUUUAAAAUAUUGACUUUGUGUUCUG